rnacentral:rRNA from 1 species
UUGGCCCUACGGGGCGCAGCAGUGAGGAAUAUUGGUCAAUGGCCGAGAGGCUGAACCAGCCAAGUCGCGUGAGGGAAGAAUGUCCUAAGGAUUGUAAACCUCUUUUGUCGGGGAGCAAAAAGGCUCUGCGGAGUCGUAUUGAGAGUACCCGAAGAAAAAGCAUCGGCUAACUCCGUGCCAGCAGCCGCGGUAAUACGGAGGAUGCGAGCGUUAUCCGGAUUUAUUGGGUUUAAAGGGAGCGUAGAUGGGUUGUUAAGUCAGUUGUGAAAGUUUGCGGCCCAACCGUAAAAUUGCAAUUGAUACUG